AUGGGCCAUGCUCCUGGGCUUCCGAAGUUGGAGAAAGCUGCCAGGCUCAGGGCCAAUCUUCAGACCUCAGGACUUUCCAGCCUAUCCCACCUCCCUCUCUGGCCAGCCUUGAGCCCUUGUGGGUCCAGCACAUUUUCCAGGCUGUCUCCUGGUUGUCCUUCUGCCUCAAGAAAGGCAUGUACAUGCUCUCCAUGCAAAACCUUGCAUUGCGGCCAAGCGCAGUGGCUCACGCCUGUAAUCCCAGAACUUCGGGAGGCCGAGCCGGUCGGAUCACCUGAGGUCAGGAGUUUGAGACCAGCGUGCCCAACAUGGUGAAACCCCAUCUCUACUAAAAAUGCAAAAAAUUAGGCGUGGUGGCAGCCACCUUACUGGUGGCCUUACACCUUACAGGCUACUCUGGAGGCUAAGGCAGGAGAUUCACUUGAAUCCGGGAGGCAGAGGUUGCAGUGAGGUGAGAUUGCACCACUGCUCUCCAGCCUUGGUGACAAGAGCGAAACUCCAUCUCCAAAAAAAAACCCUUGCAUCCUUUCAGGGGGCUCACACUUCCCUAAGGGCCCGGUAGUUGAACCCCUUGGACCUGAGGGUGAGAAACCUUGCUUUAGUUCUUCCCUGGGUGAUCAGCCCAGGGUAAAGAAGGAGAAGCCAAAAAGGAGGACCCAUGAGAAGGGCCCCCUCCAGGAGUUUGAGGCCCACUCCCUCCUCCCCUGCCUGUCCUCUGUCCAGGUCUCCUCCCUGCUGUGCCCCACUCCUGGGGCCAUAACCAUUUGGAGCUGUGUUUUUCUACAGGCUCCUGGGUACAAAGUGGGCAGGCUCACCUGGAGGGGAUCAGAGUAACAUGGCAGGAAAUGAGGGGGAAAGCUGCCCUGGAACCGCGCCUCUCUUCCCCCUCAUGUCACUGGGGUGCACUCCUCCCUCACCUCACUGAGGCAGCCACAUGGGUUCCAUGUGAGUGCUGUCCUGCUUCCUCUGCUGCCUCUUUUUUUCCUUAGGGCUAUCAUAAAACUUUCUCUUUCCCAGCUCUGCCAAUCUGGUGGGACAUUGGGCUUCCUUCUCACAGGGUCCUGGGGACAGGCCCAUCCUGUAUCAUACCUGCAGAGAGACCUGUUUUUCUCCAGGGCCUGGGGAGCAGCCAGGUUCCAUGAGUGAAACGCAGAUCUGAACCAUACCAAGCUGGGGUUGGGGUCCACACUCCUCUACUGAGAAGGAGCUAGGGAUUCCAGCUAGGUGAGAGGGAGAGUGGGCAGAGCCAGACCAGACCAGGACUGAUCCCCUGGAAAAAGCCUGCCUUGGGGAGUGCUGGGUGCGGUGGCUCACUCCUGUAAUCCCAGCAGUUUGGGAGGCUGAGACAGGUGGAUCACUUGAGGUAAGGCGUUCAAGUCUAGCCUGGGCAACAUGGCAAAACCCCAUCUCUACUUAAAAUAUAAAAAUUAGCUAGGCAUACUAUGUUCCUGUAAUCCCAGCUACUCAAGAGGCUGAGGCAGGAGAAUUGCUUAAACUGGGGAGGCAGAGGUCGAAGUGAGCCGAGAUUGUGCCACUGCACUCCAGUCUGGGAGACAGAGUGAAACUGUGUUCAAACAAAAACAAAAACAAAAAAUACCAUAAUAUAGCUUUGGCAGAGAGCCUGGCCAGGCAGUGCCUUCCCUUGGGUUUCUCCUGGGUAGGCCUCUGCCAGGAGGAGGCGCUUCGUUUUGCCUGUCCAUGGCCCACAGCAAUGGAAUGUCUGCUUCCGAGGGUUGGGUGGGG
rnacentral:lncRNA from 1 species